rnacentral:ncRNA from 1 species
AUUUAGUCUAUAAAUGAAAGUGUAAGCAUUCCACCUCAAGAGUACUAUGGCAACAUAUAAACUGAAAUCAUUAGACCGUUUCUGAAACCAGUAGUGAAGUAUGUUAUUUAAUUCGAUAAUCCGCGAAUAACCUUACCACAAUUUGAAUAUAUUAAGUUAUUACAAGCGCUGCACGGCUGUCUUUAGUUAAUGUCGUGAGAUCUGGUUAACUCCUAAAAUUAACGAAAACCCUCAUUUUAUUUGUAUAUAUAAAGUGGUUCUCCAGUAUAGUGGAAAGAUAAAAGGGAUUAAGACAAGUCAUCAUGGCCUAAAUAUUGUGGGCUAUAGACGUGCCACAUAUGCCUCUACAAAGGGAUGCUAUAUUGCGAAAUGGAGCUAAUCCCCAAAAUUGGAUAUAAUAUGGAUUGUUGUCUGUAAUUCGACAGCAUGAAUAAGGAAUUACUAGUAAUCGUGAAUCACCAUCGUCACGGUGAAUCUAAUCUCAGCUAGGUACUAACCACUCGUCAGGCGCUGAAAGGAGUAUGUGCAAUAAGUUUGGUUUGUUUAUAUAUUAAUAUACAUGAUUCUUGAUGUAUAAAUAUGUAGAUUUAAUUUUCGUAUGCAUGACUUUAAUUGGUGUUAAGUCGAAAUAUGGUUCGUGUAAUGGAAAUUGCACGGGAUUAAUAAAUUUG